rnacentral:rRNA from 1 species
CACGCUGUAAACGAUGAGUACUAGGUGUCGGGGGUUACCCCCUUCGGUGCCGCAGCUAACGCAUUAAGUACUCCGCCUGGGAAGUACGCUCGCAAGAGUGAAACUCAAAGGAAUUGACGGGGACCCGAACAAGUAGCGGAGCAUGUGGUUUAAUUCGAAGCAACGCGAAGAACCUUACCUAAGCUUGACAUCCCAAUGACAUCUCCUUAAUCGGAGAGUUCCCUUCGGGGACAUUGGUGACAGGUGGUGCAUGGUUGUCGUCAGCUCGUGUCGUG